rnacentral:misc_RNA from 1 species
UUUCCGUAGGUGAACCUGCGGAAGGAUCAUUCAUAAUAAAGUGUUUUAUGGCACUUUUUAAAAAUCCAUAUCCACCUUGUGUGCAAUGUUAGAUCUCGUCAAUCUUGGCGAGGUUUUUAUACAUCAACUCAUUCUUUAACUAAUUUGUCUGAAAAAUACUAUGAAUACUUAAUUCAAAACACAACUUUCAACAACGGAUCUCUUGGCUCUCGCGUCGAUGAAGAACGCAGC